AUGUGCAGGAAGGUGGGCUCGGCAUGCGCGACCUCCGGCGGCAAAAUAUGUGCCUUCUUCUCCACUUUGUGGAUGCUCUUCAUCGGCCCGGCUCCCCGCCCUGGAAGCUCUGGUUCCUACGUCAGCUCAGGGGCGACGUUGGGGAUCCCUGCUCGGCGCCUUCGUUCCUCUAGACGAUCAUCCAGGCGGCACUCCCGACCUACAGAUCCAUCACCCGGGUGCGCCUUGGUGAUGGGCGCACUACCUCUUUCUGGCAGGAUCGGUGGCUCCCAGGCGGUGCUCUCUGCUUCACCUACGAGGCGCUUUUCUCCCACUCGACGCGGCCCAAUGCUUCCGUCGCUGCGGUCAUGGAGGAUGGCCUCGCGCUUCGACCGAGGCUUUCCGCGGUGGCGGGCGCUCAGCUUGCCGACGUGCACGCUCUCCUGCGGGGUGUUCGCCUACUGGGAGUGCACGACCGUCGCCUCAUGGCGUGGGGCGACGACGUUGCUUUCAGCUCGCGGGCUGCUUUCCGCGUCCUGUCGCCUCACGGCGUUCUCGACCAGGUCUCCAUCGACAUUUGGGGCUCCCGGCUCCCUAGCAAAAUCAAAAUUUUUGCUCGGCUCCUGGUUGGCGAUCGGCUUAGCACCCGGGCUAACCUGUACGCCAAAAACUGCGCUCCUUCAUCUUCGUGUGCAUCCUGCCAGGCGGAGGAGACGACGGACCAUCUCUUCACGGCCUGUCCUCGUGUGGCACCGGUCUGGGCCGGUCUCGGCCUGGGCCCCUUUCUCUCCGUUGGGGACAUUCUCUCCACAACGCCCGCAGCACAGGUCAACAGUGCUGCCUGGCCGGAUGGCCUCUUCAUCCUGCUUUGGAAUGUGUGGAAAGCCAGGAACAAUGUGGUCUUCAACUCCAUCAGCUGCGGGGCUGGCGACGUGCUCCGGCGCGCGGCCGAUGAUACACUCCUGUGGUCCAACCGUUUUGAGACUGGACCGAGGGAACAGCUCCUCCUGUUCCGCUCCUUCCUUCUCUCGGGCGCUUAGAUUUCCUCUCUCUCUUUUUUUGUUUUUUGCCUCUUUAUCUUGUUGUUUUUUAUCUCCUCGAUGGAAAACACUGUAUGACGCCUCGUCGUUUCGAGUAAUAUAA
rnacentral:rRNA from 1 species